AUAAUUGGAAGUCAUAAUGUUUGCUAAUGUUGCGGUUAAGCUGUGCUAAUGUAAACAUGUUGCUACUACUUUAAAUAUUAGCUGUUAGCUAAAAAUAACUAGCCUAAAGAGUUUGACUCUGAAUGAGAUGAAAAGACAAACACAUGCACUGUCACACUUUUGGUUCUCAAAGUACUUUUCCAAAUGUAUUUGUACAAAGUUAGCUAUCUAAAAUGACAUUGUUACACUGCUGCUGUUUGGAUGAUUUCAGCCGUCCCACAGCUCAAGUAACGUUACGCGUGCCGCUACAGUAGUUUAUGUAACUUAGCAAAACAAGACACCAAGACUGAAUGGUACCCAACACUUAACAAAGCAAACAUUUCUGUUGACACUGCAAAAUUGUUAGUACUGACUCCGACAAAAGAGCAGAUACACAGCCAAUUUCAUACUGUAAAGUUGCUUUCAGCAUGAUUAGCAUGCGUCUGGUUCUGAAACAGCUUACCUACUUGGCAUGGCAUUAUUUGGGUAAUGGUAGCAAUACAGUACAGUAUGUUUGGCUCCAAUAGUAUUUGGGGUAUUGUUCUCCUCUCAUUCCUCUCUUGUACAAACUCUUGUCCCAGUAAUGGUGGAUCCAUAACCCUGAGCAAAAAGGCAAAAUGAUAGAGGACAAAGAAUCAAUGAAUUCUUUGUAUUUUCUUUAUGAUGAGUAAUUCUUGAGAUUUGUUAUAAAAUUGUAGAGUAAAUGCAUGUGCACUGCUGGGAUAAUUUUGUUAGCAUAUGCUUUUGUAUCCUAUUGAUUACUGUACAUUUUAUAAAUUCAAAUCAGUUUGACAUGGUGUAUGAUAUUGUUUUUGUAACUUUGGGGACAUCACAGCAGGACGUCACCUUCAAACAUGUAGGCACCCAAACUGACUCCACCAGUAGGACAACAGAUGGCAUAAAGCUUUCCAUUGAGACACUGGGACAACAUGUAAGAACCAAAGACAGUGGCAGAGCCAGCCUUUGGUUGGAAGCAUCCCCGUUGGCACCCUUCAGAUAUCAGCAGCCACAUAUUUCACUGGUGCAUCCUUCUUCCAGCUGGAAAAGAUAUGCAAAGUCAUGCAGCUCCAGAUUUUCUAGUUUGGCACCUGAAGGAGGCUUGCUAAGAUGUACCUGGAGGCUGCUAUUGUCCACAAAUGGAAGACGGAUCAGUAGAAUGUCUGUGAAGAUUCUCAGUCCUCCAGGUCAAGGUUAUCCAAGGAGGGUUGAAGCGAGGGAAACUGGACUUGGUUGUAGAUACUUGAAGAUGUUUUGCCUUUCAUCCGAGGGACUUCAGUAUCUCCCAUUGUGGCCAACCUCUACAUGGAGGAAGUAGAAAUCAGAGCCUUGAACUCCUUCAUAGGAACAGCACCGAAUUCAUACGAGAGGAUAUCAGGAAUAACAGCUUGGCCUUUUUGGACUGUGCCGUACACAUUGAAGAGGACACAAGCUUCCACAUUGGAGUAUACAGGAAACCCACAUACACAGACCAAUACUAACUCUUUGACUCUCACCACCCACUGGGUUGGUGCAGGGUUAUCGAAACCCUGCACCAAUCAAAUUGAUAAUGUACCAACAGGUGCCCAGGCCCAAGAGAGGGAGCGCUAACACCUGAAGGAUGCACUUAAGGCUUGUGGACACCCUAAAUGGAACUUUGUGGAAACAGCAACAAGAUCCAGGAAGAACACAAACGCUGCAGGUGGUGAAGAACAUCAUCAUUCCAUGUGUGUCUGGAGUAUCUCAGAAACUCAGGAGGAUUUUCAACAAACACUCUAUCCCUGUGUUUUUCAAAACCAGCGACAUACUAAGACACACUGGUCCACCCGAAAGACCGCACACUCAAACACAAGAAAAGCAACCUGGUGUAUGCAGUGAGGAACGCACAGACUUAUGUAUCGGGGAAACUAAACAACCAUUAAAUAAACACACGGCGCAACACAGGAGGGCCAACUCCUCCUACCUACACCCAAAAGAUAAGGGACACUCUUGCAAGGACAACAACAUACAUAUUUUGGGUUGGGUGGACACACCUACAAAGCUGACCUUUCAUCCCUGUAACUGAGUUACAGGUCUGUUAUUAAAAGCCUCCAACUUAUACUUUAAAUUUGUGUUGAAAAGCCUUGCCACUUUCUCUGUUAUGUUUUCUUUAGGGCAUUCAGCAAAGUAUGGCAGCUACACUCUGAUGCACCUGGAGAGCAACGCCAUUAUGGACCUUCAGCUUGUUCAGAGCAAUGAAAUACAGACGUUUCUGAAGGAACACAACAUCACACAGUUCUACAACGUGUGGCAUUUAGAGAAAGGUUUGUCCAAGAAACUAAACAAACUUGCAAAAAAUAAGGACUGUGAGGUGUUGAAGUGGCUGCGCAGCAUGAAAAGCACGUCUACUGGAGUAUGACCUCUUCAACAUCAGGGUCCGAAAAGGUUGCCAACUGGAAGUCACUGGUCAACCACAUUCAGGAUGUACACAUGCGUGAUGACCCCGUCUUCCCCAAGUGAGAACAUACUGACAAAGUGUCAAGGGAUCCAAAGGAACGGUUCCAACGAGGUAUGUAAACAAAAUGUGCCUUUACAAGUCUUAAAAAAAUAAAUAAAUAAUGUUAAACUUUGUUUCAUUUAUCACUUAAUAAUAUCACCAAUGUUCAAAAAAUCCCUAAUAGCACUUCAAAUAUCUCUUUUGUAAUGACAAUGUAUUGGUGUCCUGACCAUUUUAAUGGGCUACUAUUUUACAAAAUCUUUUUGUAAUGUAACUCGAGGGUCAAUGGCAACUGACCCACCACAACCCGACAUCAUCGCUAGAAGCCUUUCACAGCUUGAUCCUGCAUUUCACACCCAAGAAUGUGGUUUUCCCUUUCAUUGGUAUGUUGUGCAGGUAAUAUACUUUAUAAUGGAUUCUGUAAGAACUUAUUACUGAUUAGUGGCUAAUAAGUUUUACAACAAAAUUGAGUCCUGGGUCAUUGAGUUGAGUCAGUCUGUUAUUGUAGGUUGUAACUAGUGGUAAUGCAUUACAAUGAAAAUGCAGAGAACAACGUCUGCAGGACAAGGUGUCUUCAAGGUCGUGUUCCCCAAGUCCAAGAAGGGUGAAGGCUUUGCAAAGCCAGUAAAAACAGACCCUACUUACACUAAGUAACGUUGACCAUUUUCGGUCAAUGUUAGUGCUCAAGGAGCUAUUUUAAACUCAGCUGAAGUGUCUGUUAAUGGCCCUUAGCACCGGCUGUUUGGCUGGGAGGACGGAUAUAGAGGGAGAGUAUUAGUCAAGCAGCAUUUCACCAAAAAGCACAGCGUGAGAGGCAACUUUUGGGGAAAUGGGUAACUGCCACAAUGAAGCCACUUUUCAGCAGAGAAGUGAGUAACAUUAAGUGCACCAAACUCCAUUGAAAAAAAUGACAAUUUAACAUAGCAAUGAUUAGUUCGCUUGUUAACUAGUAAUUUAAGUAAAAUUUUUACUGGAAUUCCACAUUUACCUACAAAAUAUGUGCUGAAUUAAACAGCAGCUCCUAAUGUUACUUCAUCUUUAAAAUAUCAUCCAUGUUGCUUUCCUUACACCUACAAACAAAGUCUAUUUUAAAUUGUGUAUUUUUAUACAGGAGGUUGCUUUGAGCAGUGUUAACUCAGAGGUUGUUCAGUUAGGCCGUGCUUUCAGCGCUUUCAGCAGACACGCCCCCAGCGUUUCAGAGCAGAGAGUACUGCCGAAACCUAAUUUAUAUAAUUGGCGACUUUUUUAAUCAUUCAAAUUUGGCUGGGUGGUUAAUUACACAUUUUUCUGUGGCGUAACAAACUCAGAGCACAUAUUUAUUAUUGCUUUACAUGGACUUUAUAUAUGUACAAGGAAGGUGGAUUCAGAGAAGUAGUUAAUUUAAAACACAAGGAAGUGACUAUUUGAAUGCAGUAUUUUACAGAUUAUGUGAAUGACCUGAUGAGACUCGUCUUUGAUGAGGUAUUUGAGGACCCAACAACAUUUGUUCCCUGAGAACCAGUAUGAGAGACCAUCAAAGGAGGAAGUGUUUGCCUUCCAGGUCUCCCGCUUCAGUCAAAGGGUGAUUGGAAGCCAACAUAUGGACCAGCUGGAUCAGGAAACUCCUGGUGUAUCCAGAGUACAACAUGUGACUGGAUGACAACCCUGACCCUCCGUCCUAAAUAUCCCCAGCACCAGCUGACAAAGCUGAGAUGACAGUAAUGUCUGAAAGGAGAGGAUCAGACAGUAUUACCGUUACAGUUAAAUGCUGUAUUUGCUGUGUAUUUAUUGACAUAUG